GAAAAAAAAAGGAAAAGAGAACAGUAAAGAAAAAAUCCCCUCAGACCACUCCAAAGAAAAAAAGAUAUCCUUGAGCCAAACCAUCGUCAGACUCAAAAUGAGACUUUUCCAAUGACACGAAGAAUUUUUUGA